rnacentral:rRNA from 1 species
UACGGAGGGUGCAAACGUUGCUCGGAAUUACUGGGCGUAAAGCGCAUGUAGGCGGCCUAUUAAGUCUUGUGUGAAAUCCCUGGGCCUAACCCAGGAAGUGCACGGGAUACUGAUAGGCUAGAGUACUGGAGAAGUGGGCGGAAUUCCCGGUGUAGAGGUGAAAUUCGUAGAUAUCGGGAGGAACACCAGUAGCGAAAGCGGUUCACUAGACAGAUACUGACGCUAAGAUGCGAAAGCGUGGGGAGCAAACAGG